GGGCCCGCACAAGCGGUGGAGCAUGUGGUUCAAUUCGACGCAACGCGAAGAACCUUACCCAGGCUUGAACAGCGAGUGACCACUUACGAAAGUAAGCUUCCGCAAGGACACUCGUAGAGGUGCUGCAUGGCUGUCGUCAGCUCGUGUCGUGAGAUGUUGGGUUAAGUCCCGCAACGAGCGCAACCCUUGUCUGCUGUUGCCAUCAGGUUAUGCUGGGCACUCUGCAGAGACUGCCGGUGAUAAACCGGAGGAAGGUGGGGAUGACGUCAAGUCAGCAUGGCCUUUAUGUCUGGGGCUACACACGUGCUACAAUGGCCGAUACAAACCGUCGCGAUACCGCAAGGUGGAGCUAAUCGGAGAAAGUCGGUCUCAGUUCGGAUUGUAGGCUGCAACUCGCCUGCAUGAAGUUGGAAUCGCUAGUAAUCGCGGAUCAGCACGCCGCGGUGAAUACGUUCCCGGGCCUU
rnacentral:rRNA from 1 species